rnacentral:rRNA from 1 species
GAAUUCAACUCCUACGGGAGGCAGCAGUGGGGAAUUUUGGACAAUGGGGGCAACCCUGAUCCAGCAAUGCCGCGUGAGUGAUGAAGGCCUUAGGGUUGUAAAGCCCUUUUACCCGGGAUGAUAGUGACAGUACCGGGAGAAUAAGCCCCGGCUAACUCCGUGCCAGCAGCCGCGGUAAUACGGAGGGGGCUAGCGUUGUUCGGAAUUACUGGGCGUAAAGCGCACGUAGGCGGCUUUGUAAGUUAGAGGUGAAAGCCCGGGGCUCAACUCCGGAAUUGCCUUUAAGACUGCAUCGCUAGAAUUGUGGAGAGGUAAGUGGAAUUCCGAGUGUAGAGGUGAAAUUCGUAGAUAUUCGGAAGAACACCAGUGGCGAAGGCGACCACCUGGACUGAUACUGACACUGAGGUGCGAAAGCGUGGGGAGCAAACAGGAUUAGAUACCCGAGUAGUCCAGGCGUU